CAUAACGCUCCGAAGCUUCCUGAAGCAGUGUUUUGAAAUCGGCCAUCACUAUAUAAGUCGUUAUUUUGUUGUCGUCGCUUUAUAAUAUUAAUAUUGAACCACUGUACUCACAUGAACGGAUUUAAAUAUGUUUUUAGUACAUUAAUGGAUCUUGAGAGAGGAAAUGUCGUUGCUGGCUAUGGAGGCCUCACUGAGCCAUCGGAUUUCAACAAAAAUAUCUUAAUUUGUGUUCCGAAGAUUAAAGAAGGUCUUACAGGUGUGGAACGCCAUGAGGCCCAGCGAUUUGACCCACAGGAUUAACAAGUCAGUGUUUAUGACAGAGGCCACGGAGGAAACCCACACACACACACACAUUAUCCUGAGCCUGUUGCUUGUGUGAAAUUCAACCCAUGACUCUCUAAUGGAAGUUAACAUCAGCAUUCUAAGUUGACAUGUGCUGUCAGAUGCCAAAAUUGUGAUGACCUUAAUUAGCAGUUAGUUAAUUUGCAAUUUAAGACCGGGUAUGUUUUGUAAUAGAUGCGUAAUAAACCCUAAUGAAUACAUCAGCUGUUAUGCAGUUAGUUUACUUCUAUUUAAAGUUCCUUAGCGGAGUAAUUUUCUAAAUAUGCGAUGGACGCACUGGUAAGGUGUGAAUUUCCUGACGCUAAUAUAAGACACAGAUGAGCGGCUACUUCUGCCAGGGCAAAACAACACACAGAAAUGCACAAAUGGCUUGAUAGAGAGCCGGGUACAUUCUUAUGCCAUGCCCUACACCCGCAACCACGUCGUUUUCUGACAAUCCAUCACCACUGUGCGAGCCAAGGGCUAAAUGAAAACCAAAAAUGCCAUACCUGCAGAAAGCUGAGCCAGCUAACAUAUGGGUGUCAGUUUGCUCAUGUCGUGUAGGAGCAUUUUACGAGGUGAUGUUAAUGGGAUACAGAAACGAGGUCCUUCUUCUGCACACUUCAUCUCAGUGUAUGUCAUCCCUCAGGCCUCCUGAACCUGCGCUGAGGUCAGAAACAGGAGAACUAGAUAGAUUAUCCAGACCAGAUACAAGUUGUUCACACACACUGAGAAACAGAAUGCACUUUAAAGGUCACACAUCCUGUGGAUUCAUGUACUGGAUAAUAUAAAAGCACAUACCAGAUGUUAAUUUCUAUUCAAAAAUGUUUCCAAUGUCUUCUAUUGCUCUCUCACAAAUGUGUAUAAAUGUUAAAGAUAAUAAUAGAAGUAUUUCUGGUAUUCAUUUUAACUCCAGCACUUACACCCACAUGGGGACAACAAGUCACAUGCUUGCUCAUUUCCACCAGAAGCAACAAGUCAGGAUAUCAACUUCCUAUUGAACUCACAAUGGUUUGGAAUCAAUCUCAUAAAUUUCAAUAAAAGCCAAUCUUUGAAGCUG